AAACAUCAAUAUAGUAAAAAUGAGAAAAAUUGGAGAUGCAGCCAUGUAGAAAAAAUGUAGAUCGUUAAAAACCUCCUUCCUGUCCUUUUUCUAAUAAGAAGAAGAGAACUGACAGAUGAUAGAUGAUAGACGUUAGACAUUUAUGUUAAGAGAUGAAAUUUGUAUUUUUGUAGUAAUCCAAUAUAAUCCUAGGAAAUAAAUGAUAAAUAUGGAAGCAGCCUCUUUUAUUAAUUAGACCAGUUGAUGAUUGAAGUAAACAAGAGGUUAUGGCCCAGGCCCAGUUCACGGAUGAAAAAUAAUAAUAAGGUAUCAAUUAGCAAAUAUAGGUUAUACACAUGUACACGAUGGAACAAAGAAAAAUGUAUAAUAUUGAGGCCCUAACAAGUGAGAAUUACUUAUCAUGGAAGUUUCGGAUGGAAAUAAUAUUGGCAGAAAAUGAAGUAUUAGAGUGUGUAAAAGGCGAAACAAUCACAACAGGUCUAAGCGAGAACGAGAUGAAAAAAUUCCAAAAAUGCAACAAUAAAGCCAAAUCAAUAAUUGUUCAAUGUGUUUCCGAUGCACAGUUAGAGAUAUUGCGGGACAAACAACAGGCCUACCAUAUGUGGAAAAGUUUAGAA
rnacentral:lncRNA from 1 species